GAUGAACGCUAGCGGCAGGCCUAAUACAUGCAAGUCAAGGGGCCAGCAAUGGCACCGGCGCACGGGUGCGUAACACGUACACAACAUACCUUUAAGUGGGAGAUAGCAUUGGGAAACUGGUGGUAAUACCCCAUAAUAUUGCGAUGCGGCAUCACAUUGCAAUUAAAGUUUCGACGCUUAAAGAUUGGUGUGCGUCCGAUUAGCUAGUUGGCGGGGUAACGGCCCACCAAGGCUACGAUCGGUAGGGGGUGUGAGAGCAUGACCCCCCACAUGGGUACUGAGACACGGACCCAACUCCUACGGGAGGCAGCAGUAAGGAAUAUUGGACAAUGGACGGAAGUCUGAUCCAGCCAUGCCGCGUGCAGGAUGAAGGCGCUCAGCGUUGUAAACUGCUUUUGGAUGGGAAUAAUAACCUCGACGUGUCGGGGCUUGAAGGUACCAUCAGAAUAAGCACCGGCUAACUCCGUGCCAGCAGCCGCGGUAAAGU
rnacentral:rRNA from 1 species